AGAGUUGGAUCCUGGCUCAGGAUGAACGCUAGCGACAGGCUUAACACAUGCAAGUCGAGGGGCAGCACAGGUAGCAAUACCGGGUGGCGACCGGCGCACGGGUGAGUAACGCGUAUGCAACUUGCCUAUCAGAGGGGGAUAACCCGGCGAAAGUCGGACUAAUACCGCAUGAAGCAGGGAUCCCGCAUGGGAAUAUUUGCUAAAGAUUCAUCGCUGAUAGAUAGGCAUGCGUUCCACUAGGCAGUUGGCGGGGUAACGGCCCACCAAACCGACGAUGGAUAGGGGUUCUUAGAGGAAGGUCCCCCACAUUGGUACUGAGACACGGACCAAACUCCUACGGGAGGCAGCAGUGAGGAAUAUUGGUCAAUGGGCGUAAGCCUGAACCAGCCAAGUCGCGUGAGGGAUGAAGGUUCUAUGGAUCGUAAACCUCUUUUAUAAGGGAAUAAAGUGCGGGACGUGUCCCGUUUUGUAUGUACCUUAUGAAUAAGGAUCGGCUAACUCCGUGCCAGCAGCCGCGGUAAUACGGAGGAUCCGAGCGUUAUCCGGAUUUAUUGGGUUUAAAGGGUGCGUAGGCGGCCUUUUAAGUCAGCGGUGAAAGUCUGUGGCUCAACCAUAGAAUUGCCGUUGAAACUGGGAGGCUUGAGUAUGUUUGAGGCAGGCGGAAUGCGUGGUGUAGCGGUGAAAUGCUUAGAUAUCACGCAGAACCCCGAUUGCGAAGGCAGCCUGCCAAGCCAUGACUGACGCUGAUGCACGAAAGCGUGGGGAUCAAACAGGAUUAGAUACCCUGGUAGUCCACGCAGUAAACGAUGAUCACUAGCUGUUUGCGAUACACAGUAAGCGGCACAGCGAAAGCGUUAAGUGAUCCACCUGGGGAGUACGCCGGCAACGGUGAAACUCAAAGGAAUUGACGGGGGCCCGCACAAGCGGAGGAACAUGUGGUUUAAUUCGAUGAUACGCGAGGAACCUUACCCGGGUUUGAACGCAUUCGGACCGAGGUGGAAACACCUUUUCUAGCAAUAGCCGUUUGCGAGGUGCUGCAUGGUUGUCGUCAGCUCGUGCCGUGAGGUGUCGGCUUAAGUGCCAUAACGAGCGCAACCCUUGCCACUAGUUACUAACAGGUAAAGCUGAGGACUCUGGUGGGACUGCCAGCGUAAGCUGCGAGGAAGGCGGGGAUGACGUCAAAUCAGCACGGCCCUUACAUCCGGGGCGACACACGUGUUACAAUGGCGUGGACAAAGGGAGGCCACCUGGCGACAGGGAGCGAAUCCCCAAACCACGUCUCAGUUCGGAUCGGAGUCUGCAACCCGACUCCGUGAAGCUGGAUUCGCUAGUAAUCGCGCAUCAGCCAUGGCGCGGUGAAUACGUUCCCGGGCCUUGUACACACCGCCCGUCAAGCCAUGGGAGCCGGGGGUACCUGAAGUCCGUAACCGCGAGGAUCGGCCUAGGGUAAAACUGGUGACUGGGGCUAAGUCGUAACAAGGUA
rnacentral:rRNA from 1 species